UACAGAGGUCCCGAGCGUUGUUCGGAUUCACUGGGCGUAAAGGGUGCGUAGGUGGUGAGGUAAGUCGGAUGUGAAAUCUCCGGGCUCAACCCGGAAAUGGCAUUGGAAACUACCUUGCUGGAGUACGGUAGGGGCAGAGGGAAUUUCCGGUGGAGCGGUGAAAUGCGUAGAGAUCGGAAAGAACACCAACGGCGAAAGCACUCUGCUGGGCCGACACUGACACUGAGAGACGAAAGCUAGGGGAGCGAAUGGG
rnacentral:rRNA from 1 species